rnacentral:lncRNA from 1 species
GAAAAAGACUCUGAUGCUGGGAGGGAUUGGGGGCAGGAGGAGAAGGGGACGACAGAGGAUGAGAUGGCUGGAUGGCAUCACUGACUCGAUGGACGUGAGUCUGAGUGAACUCCGGGAGUUGGUGAUGGACAGGGAGGCCUUGCAUGCUGCAAUUCAUGGGGUCGAAAAGAGUUGGACACGACUGAGCGACUGAACUGAACUGAACUGUACUGAAGAUUCAGUUCAUAUAAGAGCUCUUCAAGGGCAGGGAUUAUGUCUUAUUCAUUAUUUUUCAUCUCUAGCCCUAUAUUUUUAUAAUAGGUAUCUAAGUAGUUACAAAAUAUAAAAAUCACUUUCCACUACUUUCAAAUCAAAGUUUCUUUGCAAAUAUUUUUCAGUGAAAACAGCUCCAUCAAUAUCUUCUUCCUACCUCAAGAUGUCUGAUUAGAAGUUAAUGCUUACAUAUGGGUGUAUACAAAGGCAGAAUCUCCUCCCUGUGUCUUUGGAUAAGGAGAACACUUCUCUUUGGAUACGGAGAACAGCCUCUGCAGUUCUUUUCUGGGGCUUCCUGAUUUUCUAUGGCUGCAAACAAAACCCACAGAGACUGAGCUCCUGGCACGAAUGCUACCAGUUUUCUAAUCACUUGGCUUUGGCUGCUGAAGGUCUCAGAGCUUCCUGGCAGGAAGUGGGGCACAGACGGCAGGUGGCCCUGCCAGAGCAGCUGAAAAAGCUCUAUUCACAGCAGAUUGUAUAUCCCCAAAGUGCUGUAACAGCACUGCGUACCUGCCAGCCUCAGGGAGGGCUGAUUUGGGUAAUUUAAGUUUUGUCUUCAAGAAUAAUCAUUAAGAGUUGUCAGCAGCAUCCAUGAUGCUAAAAUAAAGAAUCAUGUCCAGGGAAUGGCA